rnacentral:rRNA from 1 species
AUACGUAGGGGGCGAGCGUUGUCCGGAAUGAUUGGGCGUAAAGGGCGCGUAGGCGGCCUGUUAAGUCUGGAGUGAAAGUCCUGUUUUCAAGAUGGGAAUUGCUUUGGAUACUGAUGGGCUUGAGUGCAGGAGAGGUUAUCGGAAUUCCCGGUGUAGCGGUGAAAUGUGUAGAGAUCGGGAGGAACACCAGUGGCGAAGGCGGGUAACUGGGCUGCAACUGACGCUGAGGCGCGAAAGUGUGGGGAGCAAACAGGAUUAGAUCCCCUGGUAGUCCACACUGUAAACGAUGAAUGCUAGGUGUAAGAGGUAUCGACCCCUCUUGGGCCGGAGUUAACACAAUUAGCAUUCCGCCUGGGGAGUACGGCCGCAAGGUUGAAACUCAAAGGAAUUGACGGGG